UUAAAAAAAAAAAGAGUAGAUCAUGUAAGUCUUCUAAAAUAGGAAGAAAGCAAAGAUUAGCAUGGCCCCUGUGCAAAGAUGACAUAUUUGUGAAGCAUCCCAUAUUUUU
rfam:Erinaceus europaeus unplaced genomic scaffold scaffold00035, whole genome shotgun sequence